CGGCUUUGGGAACAGAUUCAGAUGGUCAGGUGUCAGGGUGGUCUGAGGGAGCCUCCCCCAAAUAAUCCAGUCACUGUGUCCCACUGAAGGAAAAGCACACAAAGGGGGCUCCCGCAUAUCGGGGAAUGCAUCCACAAGGAAUGGGAUGACUGCUUCUUGGACGAAUCCUUUGGAUCUGGAUCAGGGAUCGGUGUCAGAUCUCAGUUGGAGAUCAUUAGCUUCACACCAGAGGCUUCACUGGGAAGGUCUGAGCAGCAUUCCGCUCAGUCCUGCAGCUCCCCGCACACCCCCUCCCCAGACCACGAUGCAGCUUCGGUCUGCUUCCGUGCUUUCCAACAGUCUGCAACCAGUCUUUGGAGCCUGCCAUGACUGUAAACUUUUCCUCUUCGCUCGCUCAGCUGUGUGGGAGGUUUCCUGUGUGGCUUUACUUCCGCCAAAUAGAGGAAGGAUCCCGGAGGCAGUUAAAUAGAGCGGUGAUACUGUCAGUGACAAAAUGGGUUCGUUUUCAUCGGCACAAUUGGACACUGGUGUUUGUAAUUCCUUUUUACUGACACCUUCGCACUAUGUUUAAAGUGACAAAGCGGGAAGAAUGCUACAGUUCAUUUUCCUUUAAAAAAACACCCGAAGUUGAUCUUUUUUGCCAGUGUAAUUUCCAACUCUGACCAGCGUUACAUAACCACGGCUUUUCAUUGGAGCUGCUCCUGCCCUUUUUCACCAUUCGGUUUCACCCAAGUUCUUGCAUUUCGGCGCAACCACGGGAUGAUGAUGAUGGGGGGGGAGGUUGGUGUAGGUAGAAAGUGGUCGAGAUCUUUUUCUGUUUUCCGCCCAGGUUAUAUCUCCUUGGCCCCACCACAAAUUGCUUCUCGUGUCCUCCGCCCAACUUCUGUCUGGAUGUUCCUGUGCUAUUUCUGUCCUUAAUUUCUUUUAUAUUCUGUCUUUUUUUUUGUUCUCAUUUCAGCCUAAUUCUCAUGUGCCUGUGCUUUACCCCGCUGAAAGGAUGAGCUGGAUGUCCGAGCAAUGACACUGAUCUACUGCACACGUGCAGGGGCGAAAUUAUAAAGUGAAACUAUAAAUUGCUCCUUUCCCUGAGGAAGCAUCUGAUCACUGCUGGACCCUUCCGGAACACUUCCAUGUGGGAGCUGACAGACACGUGUUUGUGUUCUAGAUAUUUUGCUAACCAACCUGCUCAGCGAUGACGUGUCCCCAGAUACGGAGCCAGGAUACCCACACCCAAAUCCUUUCAGAUAGUACCUUUCAUUCGUUAGCUACCUUGCCGGUGAUCAGACUGUGUGACUAGAUCUUCAGUCUGAAUGCUGCGUGUAAUGCUGUUUUGAUGUUACCUUGUGGAGUUCUGGGAAAGCAGAGCUGCGCCCUGCAGCAGUAUUGAGACCCACGCCGAUUUUCUUUUCGUGAGUGCUGUAAAAGACGUACAGAAUCCAGUUUCUUUAUCACAUUUAGCCUUGGAAGGAGGACGUGUUUCAACCGGGAAUAAACAGGGGAAGUCCCUCACACAAACCAAUCGACACAUUUUAAUUUCUAAAAUAAAUUGGAGCCACUGCCAAAAAAAGGAAGGACGUCCAUUUACACAGCACCUAUCGUGAAUUCGAGACAUACCUAAGCGUUUUCGUAUAAUGUAGGAAAUUUAUACAAAGCAAGAUCCCACGACCGUCAAUGCACUAAAAAACCAACUAAUCUUUUUAAGUAGCACUGGUUGAAGGAUAAUUGCUAUCAGGUCGGGAGAACGCCGUACUCCUACUCCAAAUAGUACCAUGAAAACAUUUGGAUAAACCUGCAGAUGCUGCUACAUCUGCUGAGUACCUCCAUCAUUUUCUGUUUCUAAUGCCGUUUUUAACAUUUUUUUUAUAACCAUAGGCUAAAAUGCUUUGGUGGGAAGAUUGAAUUAAAUUCACGUCCUGCACAUGUUAUAGUAGUCAUUAUAUUUUACCAUGUUUCCGGCUACAUGCAAUUUUGCAUUCAAAGAUAGAAUCCAGAGGUAUGGUAAGCAAGAAUGAUCUGCAUUUAUUUAGUGCUUAAUCAACAACAACUUGCUUUGAUCUGAAGUCUUCAAUACAAAAAAAAUACGCUGAGUUGCUUUACAGAGGCAAAACUGGACAGGAGGAUAUUGGGUGCAUUUUUAAUUAAAUAUAUAAAUGAACCUAAAACGUUUUUAGAAUGUUUGUUCAGUAUGUUAUAAACUGGCAUGGAAUAUUGUAAGAUGAUCUUUAUAAAUGUAUUAUCUCUCCUGUGUGGGACACAUAUGGUUUCCCCUUGUAUUUCUUCUUAAGAUUUUAAUUCUGGUUGUGAUAGGAUGCCACAGGGAUGUGAAAUCAGGCCACUCACUUAAAACUCUCUGAAGCAUGAUUUGUCAUCCAUCAGUUUGCACAAUGAGUCUCAGCCAGCCAUUUUACAACAGAGACAAUCUGAUUCUGUUCUGAAUUAAUAUCUCACAUGGUACACAAACUUAAAGAUCAGAAGAUCCCUGGCUUGUGCUAAACAAAAAAAGUUGAAAGAACCACAGAUGCUGGGAAUCAUAAACAAAAACAAGAACAGAAAUUGAUGGAAAAUCUCAGCAGAUCUGGCUGCAUCUCUGGAGAGAAAUCAGAGCUAAGGUUUUGGGUCCAGUGACCCUUCUUUAGACCUAUUCUGACUCUGAUUUCUGUCCACAGAUGCUGGCAGAUAUAUUGAGUUUUUCCAGCAAUUUCAGCCCUGGUAUGUCUGUUAGGGUGUAAGGAAUUUGUUCAAGAUUCCCAUUCUAAAUUACUUUCCAGUAACUUCUGAUGAUAAGAAUCUUUAUGGACUUUGGAAAGAACAAAGCUGGCUUUGGAUUUGAUGCCCACAAGAAGAAUAGCCAUUGAGAUGACAGCUGAUAUCCAGUGAACCAUGCUUCAGCAGAAAAGAUUGAUGUGGUCUGCUACAACUUCGAUCUGGUCCAACCCAGCUUCGAGCCACUGGAUGCGGAGUUUUACUUUCCAGUCCUCCAGGUGCUCCUUCCUCACCAAGCACGGCUUUGACUUCAAAAAGAGACUGAUAUCUACAAAUUUCCAGAGAUAAUGGGAACUGCAGAUGCUGGAGAAUCCACGAUAACAAAGUGUGGGGCUGGAUGAACACAGCAGGCCAAGCAGUAUCUC